UCGUGGCUUCUCUAUUAGCUGCUUCCUGCUUGCUCCGAUCUGAUUGGCCGUCGUUGCCAUCACUCAUACCUGAGGUUAUGUCAGAGGAGUAGCUGGAAACAUAAAACACACAUUAUAAAAAACUUUUACUGAAACAAAGGUGAAGAGAAGCCACAGGGUGAAUCAGUGGGAGGUAUCUCUGCCCUUUGACAAACAGCAAUGCUCUGCAGGACACAGUUAAAUGUCAGGACUCACUGAGCAACACUAGAGGGCAACAGAGAUGCUUCUCUUAUCUCAGGAACUCAGGCUGCACCUGUGUUACCACCUGGGCUGAAUGAGACUCAUGCAGGAGAAUCUUCUUCCCUGCUUGUGUCCUGCCCCCUUCCUGCUGACCUUUGGGAAGCGCAACAUGGG